CUGGGUCUAAUACCACAUACGACCAUGGCGUAGGGUCAUGGUGGAAAGCUUUUGCGGUGUGGGAUGAGCCCGCGGCCUAUCAGCUUGUUGGUGGGGUAAUGGCCUACCAAGGCGGCGACGGGUAGCCGGCCUGAGAGGGUGGACGGCCACAUUGGGGCUGAGACACGGCCCAGACUCCUACGGGAGGCAGCAGUGGGGAAUAUUGCACAAUGGGCGCAAGCCUGAUGCAGCGACGCCGCGUGGGGGAUGACGGCCUUCGGGUUGUAAACUCCUUUCGCCCGGGACGAAGCCCACCUGGUGGGUGACGGUACCGUGGAGAAGAAGCACCGGCUAACUACGUGCCAGCAGCCGCGGUAAUACGUAGGGUGCAAGCGUUGUCCGGAUUUACUGGGCGUAAAGAGCUCGUAGGUGGUGUGUCGCGUCGUCUGUGAAAUUCCGGGGCUUAACUCCGGGCGUGCAGGCGAUACGGGCACGACUAGAGUGCUGUAGGGGUAACUGGAAUUCCUGGUGUAGCGGUGAAAUGCGCAGAUAUCAGGAGGAACACCGAUGGCGAAGGCAGGUUACUGGGCAGUUACUGACGCUGAGGAGCGAAAGCAUGGGGAGCGAACAGGAUUAGAUACCCUGGUAGUCCAUGCUGUAAACGGUGGGCGCUAGGUGUGGGCUGUGUGUUUGCAGUCUGUGCCGUAGCUAACGUAUUAAGCGCCCCGCCUGGGGAGUACGGCCGCAAGGCUAAAACUCAAAGGAAUUGACGG
rnacentral:rRNA from 1 species